rnacentral:tRNA from 1 species
GCCGCUGUGGUGGAAUUGGUUUUACACGCACGACUCAAAAUCGUGUGGCCUCACGGCCAUGUGGGUUCGACUCCCACCAGCGGCA